AGGAUGAACGCUAGCUACAGGCUUAACACAUGCAAGUCGAGGGGCAGCAUAUUUUUAGCUUGCUAAGAAUGAUGGCGACCGGCGCACGGGUGAGUAACGCGUAUCCAACCUUCCCAUGGCUCAGGGAUAACCUUGCGAAAGUAAGCCUAAUACCUGAUAUCCUCUUUAGCAGGCAUCUAAAGAAGAGGAAAGAUUUAUCGGCGAUGGAUGGGGAUGCGUCCGAUUAGCUUGCCGGUGGGGUAAAGGCCCACCGGGGCGACGAUCGGUAGGGGUUCUGAGAGGAAGGUCCCCCACAUUGGAACUGAGACACGGUCCAAACUCCUACGGGAGGCAGCAGUGAGGAAUAUUGGUCAAUGGGCGAGAGCCUGAACCAGCCAAGUAGCGUGCAGGACGACGGCCCUAUGGGUUGUAAACUGCUUUUAUACGGGAAUAAAGUGAUGCCUGCGGGCGUUAUUGCAUGUACCGUACGAAUAAGGACCGGCUAAUUCCGUGCCAGCAGCCGCGGUAAUACGGAAGGUCCGGGCGUUAUCCGGAUUUAUUGGGUUUAAAGGGAGCGUAGGCCGUCCUUUAAGCGUGUUGUGAAAUGUAGGCGCUCAACGCCUGCACUGCAGCGCGAACUGAAGGACUUGAGUGUGCACGACGCUGGCGGAAUUCGUGGUGUAGCGGUGAAAUGCUUAGAUAUCACGAAGAACUCCGAUUGCGAAGGCAGCUGGCGAGAGCACAACUGACGCUGAAGCUCGAAAGUGCGGGUAUCGAACAGGAUUAGAUACCCUGGUAGUCCGCACGGUAAACGAUGGAUGCCCGCCGUGGGUAUCGUAGAUAUCCGCGGCCAAGCGAAAGCGUUAAGCAUCCCACCUGGGGAGUACGCCGGCAACGGUGAAACUCAAAGGAAUUGACGGGGGCCCGCACAAGCGGAGGAACAUGUGGUUUAAUUCGAUGAUACGCGAGGAACCUUACCCGGGCUUGAAUUGCAGAUGAAGGAAACAGAGAUGUUGACGCCCUUCGGGGCAUCUGUGAAGGUGCUGCAUGGUUGUCGUCAGCUCGUGCCGUGAGGUGUCGGCUUAAGUGCCAUAACGAGCGCAACCCCUUUUCUCAGUUGCCAUCAGGUUAAGCUGGGCACUCUGGGGAUACUGCCACCGCAAGGUGUGAGGAAGGUGGGGAUGACGUCAAAUCAGCACGGCCCUUACGUCCGGGGCUACACACGUGUUACAAUGGCCGGUACAGAGAGUUAGGUUACUGCAAAGUGACCGGAUCAAWAAAGCCGGUCCCAGUUCGGACUGGGGUCUGCAACCCGACCCCACGAAGCUGGAUUCGCUAGUAAUCGCGCAUCAGCCAUGGCGCGGUGAAUACGUUCCCGGGCCUUGUACACACCGCCCGUCAAGCCAUGAAAGCCGGGGGUGCCUGAAGUCCGUGACCGCAAGGGUCGGCCUAGGGCAAAACUGGUAAUGGGGAU
rnacentral:rRNA from 1 species